rnacentral:rRNA from 1 species
GACGAACGCUGGCGGCGUGCUUAACACAUGCAAGUCGAACGGUAAGGCCCUUCGGGGUACACGAGUGGCGAACGGGUGAGUAACACGUGGGUGAUCUGCCCUGCACUUCGGGAUAAGCCUGGGAAACUGGGUCUAAUACCGGAUAGGACCACUGCCUGCAUGGGUGGUGGUGGAAAGCUUUUGCGGUGUGGGUUGGGCCCGCGGCCUAUCAGCUUGUUGGUGGGGUGAUGGCCUACCAAGGCGACGACGGGUAGCCGGCCUGAGAGGGUGGCCGGCCACACUGGGACUGAGGGACGGCCCAGACGCCUACGGGAGGCAGCAGUGGGGAAUAGUGCACAAUGGGCGCAAGCCUGAUGCAGCGACGCCGCGUGAGGGAUGACGGCCUUCGGGUUGUAAACCUCUUUCAGCACCGACGAAGCGCAAGUGACGGUAGGUGCAGAAGAAGGACCGGCCAACUACGUGCCAGCCGCCGCGGUAAUAC